GGUAAAAUGGCCGAAAUAAGGUAAUAAACUGUAAAUUUAUUUAUGUGAGUAUUUUCUCUCUUUUACCA
rnacentral:tRNA from 1 species